AUUGAACGCUGGCGGCAUGCUUUACACAUGCAAGUCGAACGGCAGCGCGGGCUUCGGCCUGGCGGCGAGUGGCGAACGGGUGAGUAAUGCAUCGGAACGUGCCCAGUAGUGGGGGAUAGCCCGGCGAAAGCCGGAUUAAUACCGCAUACGACCUGAGGGUGAAAGCGGGGGACCGAAAGGCCUCGCGCUAUUGGAGCGGCCGAUGUCGGAUUAGCUAGUUGGUGGGGUAAAGGCUUACCAAGGCGACGAUCCGUAGCUGGUCUGAGAAGACGACCAGCCACACUGGGACUGAGACACGGCCCAGGCUCCUACGGGAGGCAGCAGUGGGGAAUUUUGGACAAUGGGGGCAACCCUGAUCCAGCCAUGCCGCGUGCGGGAAGAAGGCCUUCGGGUUGUAAACCGCUUUUGUUCGGGAAGAAAUCCUCUGGGCUAAUACCCCGGGGGGAUGACGGUACCGGAAGAAUAAGCACCGGCUAACUACGUG
rnacentral:rRNA from 1 species